UUGAAAUUUGUAGCCUUAAAAAAAGUGUAGAUGCAUUGGCCUGGAAUCAAACCCAGGCCUCCCGCGCGGCCGCCGUGAAUUCUUUAGCUAAACGGCCCUAAACCGAAUCCCAUUCAUUUUCAAUGGUAGUGCUAAAACACUACGGAUGCAAUAUAUUUUCGGCCACUGGCGCUCUCGCGGCGCACUUCCGUGUUUUGCAUAGCCGGGAAAUUUGAGUCAUUUUAACUUCCUCGUUGGAAAGACAACUCUGCAAUCCUGCUUUACUUCUCAAAGGUAAGUUUAUUUACAGUACACAUCACAUAAACGUUUAAUUGCUGCAGCUGUUGAAAUGCGUGGAUUUUUGUGAACGUGCCAGUGUCGCGUUGUCAGAGAUUGUAAUCAAAUGUCUCUCUAAAACGCAUCAUUAAGCUGUUUGCAAGGUGAAAUAUCAAUGAACAUGACUAUAAUUCACAUUCAUUGCAGUAAUAUUUCGUUUCUGUAAAACGCUGUUUAUGUUUACAUAUAUGUUUAGGACUUGAAUAUUAUUUACAGGCUCUCUAAAUUUACGUACGUCAUGUAGCCUAAUGUAGUUUUUAUGUUUACUACUCGAUACAUGUAUUGCGUUUUAUUAGUAGGUUAUGACACUUUAGGUUUCUGUAAACAUGCACGUAAUGUCCAUAGACCGUAAAAACCCUUACGAAAAUUAACCAUGGUUUUAUUGUGAUAAAAAGUGUAGUAACUAUGUUUUUUUGUGUAUGUAUUGAUUACUAUGAGCAAAACCAUUGUUUAACUACACCAACCAUGAUUUAAUAAUGGGUUUUGAAAACCAUGGUUGUCAUAACCAUGGUUUUACUACAGUAACCACGUUUUUUCUUUCAACUGUAGUAAAAGACAUGACUGCUUUUAAUGUGAAAUGUUUCAUUUGUAUUGGAAAACAAAAUAUGCAGUUCAGUGUUGCAGCAUAACAUUAUUUGUAUUGCAUAUCCAAACAUACCUGACACUUUACAAUGCUUUAAUCUAAAAGUCUUUAUUUUAAAAUCUGUGCUUUUCCUGUUUUACAGGUCAUCAUGCACAAAAAGGUAGUUUUCUCCCAGAAAGGGCUAAAGUUGCAUUCCGUAAGGGACCACUGGGUUAUCUUCUUCAGGAACCAACUGACCAGGCCAGGGUUAUCAAAAACAACCCGUCUCUGAAGGACAAAUCAGCACCAAUAAAGGAGGAGCUUGUUAGACAAAAUGCUUUGACUGUGGUACUUCAAGGAGGAGGUGAUGCAUCAGACAAAAAAUAAGUAUUUGGUGAAUACAUUCUGCAGUUUGGCAAACGCAACACAGAAUUAUAAGCUGCAGCAAUACCUACUGAGACAGCAGCAACAGUCAGGUGACUGUUCAUCUGUGGUUACCCACAGAAAUGGAUGAAGACACAGAGUUUGAGUGUUCAAUGCUGAGCAUCACCCCCUCUAAACUACAGGUACCAUCAUCAUCAUCCUCAACAACUGAAGUGAGAUGCUCUAUGGAAAAAGGAAAAGGGUUUCGUUUUGGCCAUGUUUCAUUAACAAUAGUGUGUGUGCCGUUGGCAUUAUACUAACAGUUCAGGAGGCUGUAGAUUGAUUUCAUCCCUAUCAUGAAUUGAUACAAAGCCUGUUCAGGAACCUCCUGCUUUCCUAUCAAAGCCUUGUGAUGACACUAAAAAGUCACCAGUCUAUGAGCUGAUGUUUCUUGAGUAAGAACCAUCACCUUUCACACAAUCAAAGAAAAGUGUUUCAGCUACAGGAGAGCACAGCGUUGUAGACAACUUUCUUGCACGCAGGACACUUACUUUUGAGGACUGUGGCAAAAACGUUUUUAGAAACUCUCUCAUCUUCAGGAACCACAUCACGUAGUGUCCCACAAACAGCAGAGGCAUCACAUGAUCCAUGAUCCUCUGCUUCUGGUUCUUCUGUGCGCAGCCCACCAUCUCUGCAUUAGAAAGUUCAAAACACAUGAACCCUUUCUAAAGCUUCUCCACAUCUUCCUGACUAUGAUCAUGAUGUGCUUCACUGGAAUUGUUCUCAUCAGCAGAGGAUCUGGAUGAAAACAUAGCUGGAAUAAAUGGGUCCAUGGCCAGGCUCCACUCCUGUGAGCAACCCUAUGAAGACCGUGUCACUGUGGCGUUUACCUCCUCAGCCAGAGCUGAUAGACACAGCCAUGUACCAGGGCCUAGCAAACCAGUACAAAAUUGCAGAUGUGGAGAAGGCACAGUACCAGUGGGUAGACAGAUGAGGUGUUUUAAUUGGCACAAAACUGACUUCCUACAAUUUUUUUGACAUGGGAUUGCUGUGCAGCAUUUAGAGUGCCAGAACUUCAGGCAAGAGAACACCUGAACUGGAAAGCUUGGAAGACUACAGAUGCCAUUAUUGCUGAGGGUGCUUCUGGUGACUUUCACAUGUGCAUCAAGGUCUCACUUUAAUCAACACAUCAUAAUCAAGCUGGAAGUUGAUGUCACAGAGGGACAUCACAGCAGGAGGGCUACCACUUCCACCAGGCUCAAUGGAUCACUGGCACACGUGUUUCCUCAGAGCUGUUUCAAACACAGGGGAUGAUUGGAGUGGCCCGCUGAAACGUCUGGUGGACCUAAAACCAUUGGGUGUUAAUCUCCCUGGUGUGUUUGACUCAUCUCUUAUUGCAGACAUCAAUACCAUGUCUAGAGAGGGUGUUAGGCAUGCCUAAGUAUCCUGCUCUUCAGGUAUCCAACAAAGAUUCUCAGGAGAGGUUUGAGUUUGUUGAACCUGGAUGUCGUCCUGUUGUGCUUUAUUGGAGAAAGCACAGGAGAAAGACAGAUCUGCCUUUGCAUCCAGCUAAGCGUAGCCCAAGCCCACUGCCCAGGCUGGAGACCUUUCUGCUGAUCUUGUUGUGCCAUCAAGUCAUGAUGAGCCAGUGUCAGGAUUAUCACCAUUGAUGUGCCCUUGCUGUCCUCAUAUCAUUGUGCUGAUGUAGAGCUGCAGUCAAAACCAGGUUGUUGAUGAAAGUGCUAUUAUUCUUGUUGAAUCCAUUGACGUGCUGCCUGUGCCAUCGGUGUCAUUGCCUUAAAGUGCCUGCAUAAAGCCUCAGACAGAGAUAGAAACCACACAUAUUCCCCUGCUGCCCGUAGUGGCCUCACCUGCAAAGGCCCGUACCGGACUAGUGAAGACUGGUGGGAGGGUGUUUGUUCUAGACCACAAACGAUGGACAUCCCCAAUGAAGGAGGCCAUUGACAAAUUGCUUAACAAACAUCAUGAGAAGAAGGACAUCCUUAAGCUUGUGGAUCAGCAGUAUGCAGCAAUGGUUCAAAACUCCUGCACUGAUCCAAACACCAUGCUCCAUCUAAAAACUAAACUACACAUUUCACAAUAUAUUAAGCACAAAGCCAAACUGCUGAACACCAGUUCUUUUUUAAACACCAGUGAUGAGAAACUUAAUCAGAGACAGCACCUCUGACACUCCCUGACAGAGGGGAGUGAGACCACCAGUGUGCCAGUGGUAACAAUGAACUCUGCCAUUCCAAACCCACCUGCACCUGCUCUGACCACACCAAUUACUCAAGAGACCAUCGAGAAAGUAGUUGAGGGUAUAAUGGAGAGGAAUCAACAACAACAACAGCCAGAGCAGAAGAAAAAGCAGACAAAGAUGUGUCUUGCCUGUGGACAGCCAAAGUCUCACUAUGAUAGAGAUGGCUUCUCUAUUAAUUUUUUUAUCAGCAAGCCCCUGUUGGGUAUUUUUACUGCUCUACAAAGGUGUUUAAAGCUUAUAGCAUUGAGUGACUAACAAUGAGUAAUAUUCCCUUGGCAAGA